rnacentral:rRNA from 1 species
GUCGAGAAUCAUUGUCAAUGGGCGAAAGCCUGAACGUGCGACGCCGCGUGUGGGAUGAAGGCCUUCGGGUUGUAAACCACUGUCAGGGGGAAGGAAUAAGCGUGUAACCCACGCGAUGACUUAUACCCCAGAGGAAGUGACGGCUAACUACGUGCCAGCAGCUGCGGUAAUACGUAGGUCACGAACGUUAUUCGGAAUCACUGGGCUUAAAGGGCGCGUAGGCGGCUUCGUAAGUCAAGGUUGAAAUCCGGCGGCUCACCCGUCGAACUGGCCUUGAUACUGCGGAGCUUGAGGUGCGGAGGGAUGCGUGGAACUUGUGGUGGAGCGGUGAAAUGCCCAGAUAUCACAGGGAACACCGGUGGCGAAGGCGACGCAUUGGCCGCAAUCUGACGCUGAGGCGCGAAAGCAUGGGGAGCGAACGGGAUUAGAAACCCGUGUAGUCC